UUCGGAUUGUAGUCUGNAACCCGACUACAUGAAGCUGGAAUCGCUAGUAAUCGCGGAUCAGAAUGCCGCGGUGAAUACGUUCCCGGGUCUUGUACACACCGCCCGUCACACCAUGGGAGUCGGAAAUGCCCGAAGUCUGUGACCCAACCUACGGGAGGGAGCAGCCGAAGGCAGGUCGGAUGACUGGGGUGAAGUCGUAACAAGGUAAC
rnacentral:rRNA from 1 species